rnacentral:rRNA from 2 species
GUUGACCUCGGAUCAGGUAGGAAUACCCGCUGAACUUAAGCAUAUCAAUAAGCGGAGGAAAAGAAACCAACAGGGAUUGCCCCAGUAACGGCGAGUGAAGCGGCAACAGCUCAAAUUUGAAAUCUGGCCUCGGCCCGAGUUGUAAUUUGCAGAGGAUGUUUCUGGCGCGGUGCCUUCUGAGUUCCCUGGAACGGGACGCCAUAGAGGGUGAGAGCCCCGUACGGUUGGACGCCUAGCCUGUGUGAAACUCCUUCGACGAGUCGAGUAGUUUGGGAAUGCUGCUCAAAAUGGGAGGUAUAUCUCUUCUAAAGCUAAAUACCGGCCAGAGACCGAUAGCGCACAAGUAGAGUGAUCGAAAGAUGAAAAGCACCUUGAAAAGGGGGUUAAACAGCACGUGAAAUUGUUGAAAGGGAAGCGCCCAUGACCAGACUUGUGCCCGGCGGAUCACCCAGCGUUCUCGCUGGGGCACUCCGCCGGGUCCAGGCCAGCAUCGGUUUUCGCCGGGGGAUAAAGGCUCUGGGAACGUAGCUCCUCCGGGAGUGUUAUAGCCCUCUGCGUAAUACCCUGGCGGGGACCGAGGUACGCGCUCCGCAAGGAUGCUGGCGUAAUGGUCAUCAGCGACCCGUCUUGAAACACGGACC